rnacentral:lncRNA from 1 species
UCCCGAUGUUCGUCGCCUUUGCCGUCCGCCGCGCGGCCAACGCCACCACCGCCGCGGGGAAGGCCAUCUGGGACGGGAAGGGGCUGCUGCUGGUCGGCGGCGCCACGGUCGCCGCCUGGGCCUUCCGCGCCGACCUCCGCCGCCUGGCGCACCGCCUGGCCCACCGCCUGUUCUCAGACGACGGGUUCUCCGGUCGACUCGACUGGGGUCUCAGGUACAGGCUCUUCUUCUCCUCCUCCUCCUCCUCGGCGUCGAGCGCUCCCUUCUCCUCUUCCUCCUCCCCUCCCUCUGUUUGGCAGGGCACAAUACUUGAGCGCAAUCAUUUUGUGCAGGGUUAAGGGACGGCGCGAGGACAACAGAGGGGCGAGGAGACAGCUCGGGCAAGCGCACCAGUUCUACACGCGGAGCCACGGGGGGGCGGGCACCCGCUGAAUCAGGUAUAAAUCGAUUGGAGGUCGAUCUGACUGUUUGGGUUUUCUGCGGUCGUAGAGGGUGUGCGUUCGGUUGGAGGUGCAGCGGUACGAGCCUAUAGAACAGAUCCUAAGUAAGCUCGUGCGUUCGGUUGGAGGUGGAUCUGUCUGGUAAAUCGGUUGGCGGUCGAUCUGUCUGGUAAAUCAGUUGGAGGUCGAUCCGUCCGUUUUUAGGUCCUGCGGUAGUAGAGGAUGUGCAAGUUGGGAGUAGUCUGCCUGAUGAGAACAGCAUAAACAUAUAUACUUAUAUGUUAUAAAAGGAAUUAUACCAGAUUUAGUAGUAAUUUUCGUGAACUAUGCUUACUUUUUGGUUGAGAAAUGGCGAAAGCUAAACGUAAAAGGGACUGCAAGGUUGAAUUUCGUUGAAUUAACGUGGACUCGAAGUUUGUAUGUAGACCUGAAUUUUGUUUAAUUCUCGGCCCCUGUCCGCAAGCUGCCGUGUGACUUUAGCUGUUUAGUAGAGCAGUAGGCUAUAGGUGGACGCUCAGCAGUCAUUGUCUACAUCUGGGGUUUGUAUGUACAACUUUUCUGGGGUUGCUUGAUGACAGAGCUUGUAGGAACCCGCGACUCUACAUCUGCUUAUUUCAAAUGGUUUCCCUAAACCAACAAUCUCUAGUUCGGCUUCAGAUUCCAUUUGCUUUGUAUCUCGUUUUGCUUCAUUUGCAUCUACAACCGAGUGGCAGCAAUUCUGAACAAUGAUCCUAUUCUUUUUGUAGUAUUUGAGCUAGAUUUUACAAGAAUAUAACAUGUUCCUGGUUUUUUCUGAUUGAAUUACUAUUCAGUUCAUGGUUGCAUUCUUUGUCAAAAAGAAUAAUUACCCUGCUGAAUGCAUUAUGAUAGACUAUUACUCUCGAAGAAAUUACUCCCUCCGUCCCGUAAUGUAAGACGUUUUUUGACUCAACGUCUACAUUAUGGGACGGAGGAAGUAUUUGUCAUAAUAUAUGAUGCCUUUGUGACUCACUCACCAGAUCUUUCAUUGGAGUAUGUGUUUCCCGCUUUGCUAAAAUGUUUUUACUUGAAAUAUUCACGAAACAGAGCAUUGUGGCUGCAUCUUUUUUCUAGUGGCUCACCCAUUAAUUGAGUGGAACAGGUCUUUCUUACCUAUUAACCUUGUUUGUUUGGCUCUGCUGGGUCAUUUUUAUUGUGCAUCUAGACUGAUACCUCUGCCAUUCAUUAUGUAAUGUUUGGUUACUUCUUUAGGUUUUUAUGUUUCCCCUGCAGAGUCCUCAGCAGAUACAUUGUUAGUCGAUCUCAUUUUCGAGAAUUGCCUUUAGAUGACGACUGUGCCUCAAGGAGAGACCAGUGAAUGAUAUAUACAUAGCGUUUUCUGGGUUCAGCAUAUAGCCAAGAGGGUACCUACCUACAUAUUUUGGCUGUAAAAGGUUUCCAGUACACACAGUUCUGGGCACUUCUAGCUACUAAGUAGGGUGCUUUUAGCCUUUAAAAGAUGUCAUAUAGUGAGCUAUCCCUGAAAUGUUAGUGGUGGGUGUUAUUAAAUAUUUCCAGUUUGUGCCGCUCAUGUUUAUUUCUACGACUGUUUACAAAAUCAAUAUAAAAGUAAAUUCUUGAACAACGGUGAAGACUGCACCGGCAAAUGAGAUCCAAGUCUCACAAACAAAUAACGAAAGCCCUAUUGACCUUCUAAAUGAUUUGCCAACAUUUUCUCAUUUGUGCAUUGGCCAGAGUUACUGAUCAACUUUUUAUACUUUGCAGGUUAUCAGAAUGGGUGAAUACCGAACAGAGGGUUAGGCAUAAAUGGAGAUACACUUUCGGUUAACAAACUAGUGGUUUAGUCUGCUUAUCAUCUUUGAACCGUCGUCUAUUGCUGUUGAAUCAGUGCACAGAAAACUAGUGUUUUCAUCCUGUUAUCAUCUUAUUAUCGCUGAAUCUGAGACUUAUGACGUCGUCUAUUGCUGUUGAAUCAGUGGACAAAGGUUAUGAUAUAUAUGAUGCCGGGAUGGAAAUUUUUGCAAUAAAUCGUCGUCAUCUGUUGCUGCUGAAUCUGUUUGUUUGAGAUGCCUUAUAGUAAAAAUCUUGCUAGCUGUUUGGUUGUGCUCUGUUUCACAUUACCUUUUUUGUUUUGAGCUAAGGUGUUGUUUGGUUUGCCCCUGCUGGGGAUGCCAGCUCCUGGCCUGGAGCCUCCUGAUGCAUCCAGGACUCUGUAUAUGGUUCGUGUCCUGGAGCAUCCAGUGGUAGCCCGACCAGGACCUGUCAAAGCAAGUGAUUAGCCUGGAG